CCUACGGGUGGCAGCAGUGAGGAAUAUUGGUCAAUGGCCGCAAGUCUGAACCAGCCAUGCCGCGUGCAGGUCAGUGCCCCUUUGGCGUUUAACCUCUUUUGUUCGGGAGCAAUACUCGUCUCGUCUGGCCAGUCUAGAGUACCCUUCCAAUUAGCAUCCGCCAACCUCCGUCCAGGAGCCGCGGUAAUACUGGGGAUGUCAGCGUUUUCCGGAUUUUUUGGGGUUUAAGGGGGCGUAGGCUGUUCGGUAAGUUAGCGGUGGAAUGCCCUCGCCCAAAGGGGUGAAGUGCCAUUGAUACUGCCGUGCUGGAGUGCGGAUGCCGUGGGAGGAAUGUGUGGUGUAGCGGUGAAAUGCAUAGAUAUCACACAGAACACCGAUUGCGAAGGCAUCUCACGAAGCCGCGAUUGACGCUGAGGCACGAAAGCGUGGGUAUCAAACAGGAUUAGAUACCCCUGUAGUC
rnacentral:rRNA from 1 species